rnacentral:lncRNA from 1 species
UGGCCUAUGAAUCGAACUAAUCAAAAGGUACUUUUCAUCAGGGGAAGGAACCAUAGAUGUGUAAACAGCUGGUGUACCAAUCUCCUUCACUGUACCAUCCAAAGAAGCCAAAACAAGUUGAGAGGUGGCAUAGUAAUCAAAUAAAUCCUCAUCAUACUCAUCCUUCAGCAAAUCCUGGAAUGUUCUAAGUUGAAUGACAUUUUUCUGCUCAUUGGAUUGAAUCUUGGGGCCAGAAGGAACCAAAGGUUUCUUUGGUGGGUCUCCACGGGACAACGGAAUAGUACAAACUAAGAGGGUAGAGUUAUCCACCCAAACAUAAUUAUCAAACACUGCAUUCAGAUAAACAUCUGGUGACUGAAACAGCGGCCUAGCUGUUCCAGUUUCCACAUCAGCAACCCACACUCUAAGCUUACUACUGUUACUCUCCUCUUCCUCAACACGAACACUAAAGGCUAAAUGUAGACCAUCAUUUGACCAAGUAACAAAAUUAAUCUUAGCACCAUCAGGGAAUCCUCUAACCUUUUUUUCCGGUCCCAAGGAGCCAUCAGGCAUUAGUUGAUGGAUUCCUAUACCAGUGUAGAAAGACAUUCGGCUCCUCGUGUUGCACUUCCCAUCAAUUCGAAUACCAGCAAGCUUUUCCUUUGGUCUUGCUAGCUCUGCCAGCCGACGCAAAGAUCUCCGCUUGAGAAAAAGAAUUUUAUCCCUUAACGGUGAAAAUGACAGUUUGGGGCGAGAAGUAGCAUAAAAAAUAUCUCUAAUUUCCGGCGGUGGAAGACGAAAUUUAACUCCGAUUGCAACAUUCUCUACAUCAAAUUCAAAAUUCAAUUUUUUAAGUAACUAACUUGUAACUAAUAGCAAAUUCAAAUUAAAGAUGUUAAAAUUUUCGAAGUACCAUCGUCUUCUUCGGUGAAGGUAACCGAAGUGUUCGCAGAGCCAUUGCCGGCGGUGCCGUCUUCAGCGAAAACAGAGUUGACGGGAACCAGGUGGGGGAAUCGAGAGGCGCCAAUGGCUGGUUUGGAGGCGUUUCGAGAAUGAGUUUUGAGGUGGGCAGGUGUACGAAGGGAUGAAGAAGGGAAUCUGGCAUUUAGAUUCAGGUUAGGGGAGCGAGAAGGAGGUAAAAGAGAGAGGGAGGGGAGAGAGAGACGAUGAUAAACUUUAUUAUAUCGCAUCAUUCAUUUCUUUAUUUUGAUUGAUUAGUUUUUCUUUUGCUUUUCCAGGCGUGUACUCAUCAGUCAUCUUGUCGUUAUUAACAAUGUCCAUCCUUCGCCCAAAAGGAAUACGUAUUUGUGAUAGACCCCUAUCUGUAAUUCCCCCUAACGUAUUUCCUUCGGAGUUUCUUAUCUGCUGCUAUGGAGUGCACCCUUGUUACGCUAUGCUCUUCAUCAUAUCUUCUAACUUUGUUAGAUUUGUACGACUAAGUCAACAAACUAGUCACCAAAAUGCUGAAAUCAAAUAUAUAAAGGACCUAAAAUAGUUGCCUCAUUUGAUUGAUAAAAAUAUACAUGUUGUUACCAUAUAUAUGAAACUCUUUCUUUUUUAUUUUAAUUUCGUUACUCAAAAAAUUUCUUACUCUUCACUUAUCGAAAUAGUUUUUAUUCAAAAUUUUUUGAGUGUGAAUCACAAUAUUAAAAUAAGUGAUUGUAGACUUUAUAUUCAAAUCUUACUCUAAGUUUGAAGAGAUCUUUUUUAUUCUACCAAUAAGGGUCUGUUGGAAGUUCAGCUAGCUCUAAAGAAAUGUGAAGAUCAAAAUUAAUAAGUUAAGUCACUCCACCAAGUGUUGUAAGGUGGUUCAGGAUCCAAUGUGCCAGGUGAUUGUGUAAUUCUUUUAUGUAUUUUGAAAAGUAUCACCACCAUGGUUUUCUUGAAAGGGAAAAGUUUUACAGAGAUUAGGAUGUUGUUGAUUUUGCAUAAUCAUUUUAACAGUAGCUUGUACUCAUGAAGAUAGAUUUGUAUAGAGAGUAUGGAUUGCACACAUACAUAUCAAAAUGAGAUUGGAAGAGGGCAAAAUUGUCAUGGAAUUCACAAGGGCAGUGAAAGAAAAAAAUAACAUGAUAAUGUUAGGAAAGAUGUUUGGUGGUAAAAUACCACUUAUGGAGGGGUUUAAACCACUUUAAAAAAUUUCUUAAAUGAAUGUUUGUUUCAUAAAAGAAAUCAUUAUUGACAAAAGUGAUGUGGCAAAAUUGAGUUCAAAAUAGUUAAACUCAAUGGCAAUGGUGUAGGGUUGGCAUAAAUACCAUAAAAGAAUCAAAGCUUAUUUGAAUAAGCCUGCUAUAUGAGGGAUGUGAAACAAGUGAAGAAAAGAAAAUUAAUGAUGAAAACCAAUGGAUCUGAGGCUAUGAUCAGCUCUUUUUCUAAUAAGGAUAGCCUGUAUCUUGUAAAUAAGAUCAUGAGUAUGUCUUUCAAUUAUCUUUUUUGACAAUGAUCUGUUGAAUUUUAAGAAAAUUUUUGUGAACUGAAAAAAAUUGGUUGGAAAUCUGGAUCUAGAACAAAGGGUUGUAUUUUAGGUUGUAAAGGUAAGGAUAGAGAAAAAAAUUGGUUACGAUUUGAGGAAUAGGAUCAAGGUAAAGGUAAAGGUAAGGGAGUCAUCAUGCAAAUGACUGAAAUGAUCUGCAAGGUGUUUGAAAGAGGUUUUGGAGGAGAUCUGGUAAGUAUGUUUGGAAGAAGGUUAUCUUUACCUUUUAUAUGUACUGUGGUGAAAGAGUACUGUAAGAACCAUUGUGAUAGCCUGAGUAACUGUGUAUUUGGCAUCUAUUUCUUUUUAAAAUUGAGUAUCUAAUCAAAAGUUGACAUAUCUAAUUCCACAAGAAAGUGAUAUGCAAUGAGAUAAAAUUUAAAUCUUUGAAUUUCAUACUCUACAGCUAAAAUCUCUUUCAGUGUAGAGUGAUAAUGGAGUUUCGAAUAUUUGAAUUUUUCACUCUUGUAACCACAAAUCUGUCUGAUUCCAUCUUUUUCUUUCAAAAGAAUUGUUGACUAAAAUUGUUCACUUGCAUCUGUUUGCAAUAUCAUUUUUCCAUCUAAGGGAAUCUUUAAAGUUGAAAGUAAUUUUGCUUUUAUGUUCAAGGUAUGUACUGUAUUUAUCUGCUUCUAAGACUACAUGAGAGGUUCUUUCUUUAGCAUCUGUCUGAGAGGAUGAGUUAGCUGUGCAAGAUAUAAGAAAAAUUCACUCAUGUAAUUGACUGCACAAAGGAAUUGUUGUACUUGCUUUUUGAAAAUAUUUUCAUCAGGAAAAUAUGCAAGUGUCUGAGCAAUGUGGGGUUUAACUAUGUACUUUCCAUGCCUAAAAAAUCAAUUUUUGAGGCACCAAUAAUCAUCUUUUUCUCUGAAAGCAUUAUUUCAUACUGUUGAACAAUUUGGUGGAAUUUAUCUAAUAGCUGUGUAUGAGAUGUGACAUUUAGAGAAAACAGUAAGAUAUUAUCAAUGUAAAUUAAGGCAUUAUCAAGAAUUGGAGUAAAUAUUUUCGUCAUUGCUUUCUGAAACAAUGAAAGAAUAACUUUUAAUCCAAAAGUCAUAACUGUUCACUAAAAAUGAUGUUAAAGAAUGCAAAAUGUCAUUUUGUAUCUGUCCUGCGGAUGUAUACCUAAUUGUUAAAAUUAUGCUUUUAGGUCAAAUUUUGAGAAGACUUUUACAGUUGUCAAAUUUGCAAACAAAGUUUUUCAAUCUGAAAAAGGGAACUUAUCAUCUAUAAAAAAAAUAUUAAGAGACUUGUAAUUAAUCAUCAAUCUUAAUUUUUUACGAACUUGUUCAAACGCUUUUUUUAUUACCUUAUUAAAUCAUCGGCUAAAAGAUUAUGGAUCAAAUAAUUGGAUUUCCCUUAAAUGUAGUAUUAUUAAUCAUAUAUAUUAGUGAUUUAAAUACAUCUAUUAACAUUUAGUUAGCUAUAAUACUAGAUAUUAAUGGAAUUAAAUUUUUUUGACAAAUUGAUUGUAAUUAUUUAAUCCGCAUCUAAAAUAUAUUGACUUAGUUAUUUUAAUUAAAUAGUUCACAAUGUUAAAAUUAUGGACAGUGUUACAUGCAUUAACAUGUUGCACUCAAUUAAUGCAUUUAUUUUCAUGUUUUAUCUUAAAGAUUUAAAUGAAAAGUAUUAAAAUUUGUAUGAAUUAUAAUAAAAUUUGAAAACAAAGAUUUAUAUAAAUGAGGGAACAAAUUUUUUUAAUCCCUGUUGCCUGAUGGUAUACUAAAGCGCUUUUCCUGCUUAGUGUGGUUUUUUUUCUUCAAAUAUUUAUAAUUGUUUCGAAUUAAUUAUAAAAGAAUAAUCUUUAAAUUAAAAGAUAUUAUAAUUAAUAUUAACAAAAUAAUAAAUCGGAGAUAAUUAUUUUAAUUAUUAAUUUCUAUAAAUUUUUUUAAUUAUUGUGAGAGUAAAUUUAUAUGAAUCAUAAUAAAAUUAAAAAUAAAUUUUAUGUAAAUGAGUGAAAUGAUCCAAGAAAAUUUGUAAUCCUUGUUGCCUGUUGGUAUUUAUUGAUAUUUAUCGUGAGUAAUAAGUUUUAUAAGGAUUGAUCAAUAUAAUGACAAAAAAAAGGAUCUUUUUACUUCUUCAUUUUUAUCCAAUCUUCUAAUUUGUUAUCAUCUGAAAAUUGGAUACUAGUUGCAUAAUUCACUGUCUCAUUUAAAGAUGGAAUAUAAAUAAAUUCCGAAUCUUUUUACUUUUUUUUUUAAUUGUCCUCUCUUGGUUAUUAGAUUAUAAUUGGUAACAUAGACUUGAAAUUCCACGGAAUAUGAUUCGCAAAAAAAAAAAAUCACUUGAAAUUCAUCACCACUCACUGCAACUUAUGCUCUGUUUGGAUCCUGAUGAAUUAUGCAUUAAAAAAAAAGGGCAAAAGAAAGAAUAUCUCGGAAUUGAGGUUUUUCAAUUUUCCCUUUUGCUUGAUCAUCAAUAUUUUGUUUUAUUUAUGUUGACAUGGCAGAAAUCACAUGGAGAAAACUCCGGUGGCAGCGUAGGAAACUUGACAUCAAAUUCAAGCAGAGAGAACUGCUUCAAUAGAGGUAGAUAAGUUAUGCUUUUAGUUAUAUCAGUCAACUUAAAAUUUUACUUAUUGUAUUCAUUCUUGUUAUUUUAAAUUAAUGCUACAUUAUCUAUUUGUCCUUGAAUUUCACUAGCACGAUCAUUUUUAGAAAAAAAAAAAUGAAAUGCAACUUUUUUUUUAAUGACAUGCAGAUUUGAUAACUGUGAAUCUGUUGCAUUCAACUUGUCUGAACUGAAUUUAUUUUUUCUCAAACUGCUAGACAAGAUUCAAAUAAAUCAUAUUUAUAUUGUGUGGUGUGCACAGGAAAAAGUUAGAGAAGAACUGAAAGAAGCUAGAGAGUCAUAUUUCGGAGAUUUUGUCAGCUGCAUCAAGUAGGAAUGUCCUAUGUGUGGAGGAGAAUGGAUUUGGUAAAAUGCUUUCUUCAAGAAUAGAAAUCCCUCUAUGUAAGUAUACUGGAUUUGCUCAAGUUUCAGGAGAUAGAGACUAUGCUAAUGCUCUUGAAGUUGUAUCUCCAACAAGUGCCAAGCUUCCAUAUAUUGAGAAGUUCCCAACAUAUACAACAUGGAUAUUUUUGGACAAGUAUGUUGGAUUACUAUAUUAGUUGGCCUAACUUCAAGAAUUCUAUUCUGUCUACAUAUAUAUAUAUAUAUAUAUACAUGUAUAUAUGUAUGUAUUCGAUUAAAAUCAUGAAAUAAAUUACUUUUAAUUGGGGACAAUUUUUGGGGAGAUUUCACGCAAAGACUUAAUGACAUACUGGAGACCACUUUAUCCGAAAUGCUUAAUCUGUUAGGUCAUGAGCUAGCCAUGCUACUUAAGUCAUCUCAGGUCGAGGAUUAUAAGUUGGAGAGAUUUCAUGAAAGGGCUUGAUAACAUGUUAAACACCACUUGAUCCUAAAAGCUUAAGCCAUUAGGAAAAGCUAGGCAUGUUAUUUAAGCUUCUCAAGGUUUUGUUACUGUUAUUUAAUUCAAAGUUGGAGAUUUCAGCAGCAGAAGCUUCCACACAUGAAUCCACAACCUUUUCUCACCUCGUCUAGUUUUGCAUGAGAUUUUGUUUUUGCUCGUCUUAUCUUAAAUAUGCAACAUUCAGCACAGAAAUCAGAGAAUGGCCGAAUACCAAUCUGUUGUGGAGAGGAGACGUAUAUACUAUGACCAACAUGGCAGUGAAGCCUUAAUCUGUAGUGACAGUGAGGAAGAUAUUGCAGAGAGUGAGGAAGACAAACAUGAAUUCUCUGAGGGUGAAGAACGUAUUUUGUGGUAAGUAAAAUAAGAUGCAACCUCCGCACAUAAAUAAGGAAGAGUGAUAUUCAAUUUUUAAGAGAAACGUAGUGUAUAUACUUUCCUCGUGAAAAAAAAUGAAGUUGUGCACAGUUGCAUUCCGAAAGUUGAACUUCUUGUGCCUUGUUAUCAUCAUACUAGUCACAAGUGAACAACUACAGAAAUGCAAGUGGUAGACAUUGUUCAUAAUCUUUCAAUGCAUAAAUGUCAUUGGUCUUGUAAUGGUAAGAAGAUGGAGCGACACUGAUGUAAAACCAAGACAGCAAAAGCGUGCUAGGUUAAAAGACUGCUGCUGUUUCUAUUUGCUGUGUUAGUCUCUUUCUUCAUACUGGCAUGUAUUUCAUAUGGAGCUCAAAUUCUAUAUUAGCUAACUGAUGACAUACUGUCACCAUAAGAGAUGUUUAUUGGAUUUCUGAUGAACUGCGGAUAAGUUCUUUUCUAUUUUAUUCUAUGAAAAAAACCAGUCAAUCAUUUAGGAUUAACAAUGUUGAAUUUGGCAGGACCGUCCGUCAGGAGUACGGUCUAGGUGAGGAAAUACUGAGGGCCGUCAGCCAAUUUAUUGGAGUAACCAUAUCUGAAAUCCAGGUAUCCAGCGUUAUUCGCAUGUGAACUUGGUUGCCUUAUUUUGGAUGAUGCUUGGUUUCUUUAAUCCCUUCCUUCCAAGGUUUUUGUUUAAAUACCGUUUUUCUUAAUAUUUAUUAGAAACUUUUUUCUUAUGAGAUUGUCAGGAACGGCAUGGCACGCUCGCAGACAAAUACAGUGACCAAAACAUUAAAGAUUCGGAGGAUUCUGGAUCUGAAAAGGGUAUGUCUUUGGACAAGAGCCUCAGUGCUGCUUUAGAUUCUUUUGAUAAUCUGUUUUGCCGUCGUUGCUUGGUACAUAGUCUCUAACCAGUCAUUCUUAAUGUUAUUUGUUAAAAAGAAGCAUUGGCAUGUGGAUAUCCUGUGCAGUUCUUUUGAAUUUUUUUAGCCCCCUUGCUGAUCUACUUUGUAUCUGACAGUUAUUUGACUGCCGUCUUCAUGGCUGUUCCCAAACUGUAAUUAAUCCUGAAAGCAAUGUGCUUCUUGUCUUUCAAUUUAACGCGAGUUUGUUUCAUUAGUUUAUCUGACUUGGAACCUAUUGCUUGACAGAUUGAAAAGCAGCCAUAUUGUUCUGAAUAUGAAGAUGACAGGAAGCCUUGCAGUGAUCAAUGUUACCUCCGGGUUUGGUUCCAAUUAUUCUUUUCUAAAAACUUAUGUCUGGAAUUGUCUUAUGAGUUGCUACUUCCAAAACCAUUGGAAGUGUAGGUUAAUGACAUUCAUGUUAAUAACUUUCUGGACUAAACUUCUCCAGUAUUCUCCAAAUAUUUGCAUUCUUUAUUGUUCUCUGGUGCUGUUCCUUGCCCUCAAAAGCUGGGUUCUGAUGCAAAAUCUAUUUGUCUAUAACUCUACAUUUUUUCCUAAAAUGCCUCCUAUAUAUGGUCCCUAUCUGCAACUCAUUCCAUCGUUUUGUAGUUUACUUUUUUAUUGCUCACCAAAGAGAAGAAGAUUAUUUUAGUGCUUAUAUGCGUACGUUUACUGAGAUAUGUUUGAUUUGGUGUGAAUUUGCACUUGUUCAUAUCCUUGGAGUACCUUUUAAUUUCUUUUCUAGUAUAUAUUUAUCGUUAUUAUCAUAUCCCAUAUUUAAUUUGUCUUUGGAUUUAAGAUAAUUUAUUUUGUGGGAAAAGAGUGAAGCCUUAUGGUUUUAACACCAAUUCAUGCAGUUAAGAGCUGUCAAAGGUAUGCCAGAAGGUUCAGGUGGCAAUGCAUUGCAUAGAGUGAUGACUACAACUCUAGAAGAGAAAGACCAGGCUGCAUCAUCUGAUGCCAAAGGGCCAAAGACUAAUGUUGGUGCAGAUCUUAUGCAAGAUGAAAGAGGUAUCACUGAAGAAGCGAGGCCUGUUACUUUAGAAGGUAUUCAUGACUCAGAAGGUGCUGGUGAAGCUCAAAAUUUGGAGAUAUCUUGCAUAGCUAUAGAUAACCAUGAAAGUUCUGGAAAGCUGAAGGCCUCCCAAGAAAGAUAUAGACCGUUAGAUGAUUCUGUACUCUAUUCUGAUGGCAGCCAGGAUUCUGCAAUUAAGAAACAAAAGACGGUAUUGGUUUUGGAUUUAGGUACAAAGUCUUCUGAAGCUAUACCAAGUCAGGAUCAUGCCAGUUCUGAAAGUACUAAAAGUAGGAACCAUCAUGUUGGUACUCCUAAUGAAAAUGAAGCUCAAAUUACGGCCAAAAACAAUCAAAAUGAAUCUGAUGAACGGGUUUCAGUAACUUUUGCCUGUUCUGCUAGUGCUUCCAGUGAUAAGACCGAGGAUAAUCUAAGUGAUGGAGCCACAGAUGUUGCAAAGGUGCCUGAAUUGAAGUGGUCAUCUUCUGAUUGGAAACCUAUUGAGAGAGAAUUGUAUUUGAAGGGAGUGGAGAUAUUUGGGAGAAACAGGUAGGAAGGGAUUACAACUUUUGUCAAUCUUUUUCUUAGCAUAAAAUGCAAAUAGAUGUUGGUUGUGUUAAAUAUAAAUCCAUAUAAAUAUUCAUGUUGGUAUCUUUGGAGUUGGUUUCUGCAGUUCUAAAUUUUUAGUGGACUAAUCUGCAAAAGCUUCCUUAGAAGAACUAAAAUGCGCAUAGCAAAAAAACUCAUAAUGAAAAUUGUGUAACAUGCUUAUAUUUUUACAAUUAACCUGCUUUACUUUCUGAUCUUGAUGAACUUGUUAUGUUUAGGCAGUUGUAAUUCCAGAUAUCUUUCUUCUCCCUUCUAGAUAACAAUAUUCAUAUGUCCAUUUAUCAUGUUUCUACUAAUGCAUGAUCCCAUGCUUUACGGUUGCCUUAUAUCCGGGAAUUUGCUUUCUGGUUUGAAGACUUACAUAGAGGUGUCAAGUUACAUUUGUGAUGUGGAGCUUCAACACUUCAUAGGUCCAUCGUGACAAGUUCAUUUUUGGAAGAAAAUGGGAAAUAGGAAACAGAUUACAUGGUAUUUACCAGAACUCUCUAUUUCCUCCUAUUGCAUGGUCUUUCUUUAAUAAAGGGGUGAAAAGAAAAGGUCUCCAACCAUCACGAUUCUCUUGAGGCCAUAUCGGUGAUACUAUCACCUUUACAAGCUACAAUUGCAAGCAUUCCCUUUAACACUUUGCUUUAUGUUUAAAUGCUUACCAAUUGAAAAAAAAAUUAUAAAAUUAUCCUCUGAAACUUUUGUAUUACAAAGAAAGUUUGAGAAUCCAUAGAUACUGAGUGGCAUUAACACUUCACAGUAUGUCCUUGGUGCUUACCGCGAAGGAGACAAAUUGAAAUUUGCGAACCAUACUUCUAAUCUAAAUUGCUAUGCGAAGGUAUACAACUGUCUGCAAUUCUUUUGAGGACAUUUCUUAUUGGUUUAGCUAAUACCUUAGCUUGCACAGGUAAUGUUGGUGGCUGGAGAUCAUCGAGUAGGAAUUUUUGCCAAGAAGCGCAUUGAAGCUAGUGAAGAGCUCUUUUAUGAUUAUCGUUAUGGCCCAGAUCAAGCACCUGCAUGGGCUAGGAAACAUGAAGGUUCCAAGAGAGAUGAUACAUCAGUCUCUCAAGGUAGAGCAAAGAAACACCAGUCUCAUUGAUGCACUGUUGACUGGUUUAGCAUGUGCACCUUAGUAAAACAACAACCAGUCUCAAGGUUGUUGUUUCUAUAUUAUUACCUUCAGUUUUUCCCAUCUUCACCUUAGUAAAAGAAGUUUUUUCAUGAGCAAGCAUAUAGGAUAUUGUCAUUAUGUGUGUAUAGUUGCAUAAGUCAGGAAAUUAGAUAAAAAUAAGGUUUAAGCAUUUAUUAUGCCAACAAGCUAGGUAGCAAUUCAAUACAUAUAGGAAUUGGUGGGAGAAAGCAUGUAUGAAUCUUAUAGAAAUAAUGGAAGUCUUUUCUUUAUUAUGAUAGCUAUUUGCAUUUUUCCAUGGCAUGCAUUUAGUUUUUCCUUUUUGAUACUUUUGACCUUAACAUGACUGCUUUGCACCAAUUUACCAGAGAUUUCCCACAUCCCCCAGUUAAUUCGGCUUCUUUCUGUCGCGGCUGAAAGGCUUUCUCUUCAAUAUACCAGCUUCCCCGGGAUUAUUAAUUUUUUAUUGCAUUGCCAACAGGUCAAUUGCCAAUAUUGAUAAUUACAAUAAAUUUUUAGCUUAAUAUCAAUUCGUCUUUUUUUACUAUUAUUUUUAAUUUAAUUAAACUUUCCAAACGAUGGAGUCCAAGGGCUGGAACUUGGGACACCCGCCUAAAAGAGUAAAUAGCCGUGUGAGGGUUUUUUUUUAUUAUUAUUAAAUAACUAAGCAGGCUCUGUAACAGAUUAAAAGGAGACCUUCAUGUUUCUGAAUGAAUUAUUUUCAAUCAGAAAUAUGAAUUUGACUCGAAACAGAAGAACCUCAUCCAAAAAUAUUAUAUUUUGCAUGCUAUUUGACAAUAUCACAAGCUGAAAGAAUUGAAAGAAUAUACAUGCUGAUGGCUGAGGAUCACGAUCGAAUUUUUGAGUGAUACUUGGGACUUUUGUUUGGAUUGCAAAUGGAAAUACAAAUUUUAAUUCCAUGUAUCUUGAACACCAGGAAGACACCUAUGGCUGCAAUCUUGAAUGUUGGAAGAGUAGCUAUUCCCCGAUUUUUUUCCCAUAUUGAUGGAUGACCAUCUAUCCUGUACGCAAAUAAACCAGUCACAUUUAGCAAUGUUACAGGAGUUAUCAUCUGCAAAAUGACCUCCACAAUUUUGUUCUUCUCAGGGUAUAUCAUGCCUUAAGUGUCAUCAAGGGGCCAAGCUGCUUCCAUAAAGUGGCCACCUGAAUUCCACUGCCCUUCCUUAUAUCAUCCUGUUUUAUCCAUCAUCAUAUACAUCAAACAUAAUCUAAUAGUUUUGCAACUUAAACAACCAACCUAAGAUAAAAGAGUAAUAAAUAGGUCAUUCUAAUUUCUCACAAUUUGCUUAAGAUCCCACAAUAUUCAAAUUUCGAGUUUCAGAGUUUGCCAACUAAAUUUGAUCGGCUAAUGUGUAUUAAUACGCUUCAAAUGAGAAAGUGGGGAAGAUAGGAAAAUAAGCACCAUGUUUACGUGGUUGUAGAUCACAUAGGCCAUCUGCCAGGUAACUGUGCUUUAAAGUUUCCAACUAAUCGGCAUUCAGGGGUUGCAGUAGUAUAUGAUGUUGACAACAAUUAUCUAGGAUUAUUAAAAUUGAUGCAUUGAAAUUUAUGGUAUUUGCUGUUUUGCUACCAAUCACCGUCAGUCCAAUUUCAGUUCUCGGAGGCCAAAACUCAGGAAUGUGAUCUACAAACAAAAAAUCGGUAAGUGUAAUUAAGUUGAUGAAUCUGUUCUUCAAUAAACUGUGGCGAAAAUAAAGACCAGAAAGAACUGAGGAAUUAUUAAGUUACCACAUUAAUAACGUUGGCUUUGAAUGGAGCUGUUCACUUUCAAAAUCAUCUGUCAGCUCUGCAGCACUGCCUCCACUGGCACCAACUGCUUUCUUUUCAGACUUGGCAACUUCAUUGCUUGCUCCAUCUUUGCUCGUAUCAAUAUCUGCACUCACUUCAGAAGUGUUUGAUACACAAUGCUUUUGAAGCCAUCUAUCAGUUUCCCAGAGGACAUGCAUGAUACUUUCUCGAGCAGCAUAGCCAUGGCUCUCAAAGGGUAGAAUGACAAGGCGACAAAGAGCUCCAUGGCCCUUUAGAGCAUUGAAGAAACGAUCUGACUGCAUUGUAUGGAUAUGCCCAACAAGUUGGCGAGCAAACAAGUAAAGGAAGAGAUCAAUGAUAAGUCAAAUAGGUAAAAAAAAAUAUUUAAAAUCUGAAAGGACACGGAACAGGUUCUGCUGCAUUUGUGGCAAGAUAAAGGGAAGCAAAAAAGGGAUGGAAGAGGGCUACCUAACAAAGCAUAAUUCAACAAAUGGAUAAUGGGCGAAAUAAAUAAACUUUCCAAGUAAAUUAUUCUGUGGUUGGUUGAUAAAUCAGGUAGAACAUUAUACGUAGAAGGGCCACCAGCGAGGGUGUGGAAAGCAAUAUACCUGCAUGGUUAGUGUUCCAGGGUUAUUGUCUUCUUCUCCAUGGAUAAGCAAGAUUGGCUUCUUGAUUUUAUUUGCAGACAUUAAUGGGCUCAUCUCUACAUAGGUAUUAGUUGCCUCCCAAAGAGUUCUAUCCUCAUUCUGCGCCAAUGAGAGGAAGCCAAGAAUCCAUCCAUAGAGACAAGAUGAAGAUAGAGAAGAAAGGAUAACAAUUGUACAGGUGAUAAUAUUGAAAAGCUGAUAGGCAUUAUGCAUUGCAUUAAAUAUAGAUAAAUGCUCUAGUUCACUACCUGAAAACCGAAGGGUGUAAGGGUUCUGUUGUAAGCUCCAGACCGAGCAAUCCCACAACAGAAAAGGUGAGGAGCAUGCACCAGAAGGUUUGCCGUCAUGAAUGCUCCAUAGGAAUGUCCCCCAACAGCAAUUUUGUUAGGAUGAGCUACCUAAACACAUGCAGCAUCAGAAAAGCUCAAGUCAGAAAUUUAACCGUAUGCUGCCAAUGGUGAUAAUAUGUGAGGGAAUGAAGAUGCAUACUCCACGUCGAAUAACUUCCUCAACAGCUGCCUCUGCACUUGAAACCAGUUGCUCUACAUACCUACACAGAUAGUAAAUAUGAUGGGAUAUACAUACCCACACGCACAAAUGUGUAUAUAUAAUCAUACAAGUAGUUGCAUUACCUAUCAUUUGCUUCUUCAUCCCCUUCACCAAUAAUUGGGAUUGUUGGCCCAGAUAAAAUAGCGAAUCUGCAAAGCAGCAAAUAUGGGUAACCAUAAUUUAGUCUAUUGGCAGGCAGCUCAAAUUGAAAACCCAGUGAAAGGCAAACGAAAACACAAAAAGUGUAAAUAGCAAAUAUGAAAAGAAGAAUUCCAUGCCUUCUAGCAAGCCAAAGGAGAGCUGAUGUUGGACCUAUGCCAGCAAACUCAUUAGGAGAACCGCGAACUUGUCCAGCUGCAUCUUUGCUUUUAAAUUCCCCUGGGUAAGACCAAACCAAACAUGGAAGAGGGCCCUCUUUUGACGGAUCAUAGCCUGGUGGCAAGUACAAUGUUGCAGUAAGUUGAACCCCAUCCUUUCUCUGGUAUCUAACCAUCUCUUUCUGCAAUGAUGCCAACUGUGGAUAUGGAUGAGGGAAGUCCGUGAUCUGACAUAAUUUCCUAUCUGGCCAACUUUGAAUGUAAUAUUGGGUAUUCUCAGUUUUUGACUCUUUAGAAGUAAGUAUCUUCAGGUCGUUAAUGCAUAUAUCCCCUUCUUUCUCAUCAGACAUCAAAGCAACAACGCCCUCAUAAUACUUUUCCUUGUCACUCUCCCAUAUUCGUUCUUUGCUGCCUGUAUUUCUGGAAGAAUUUGUUUUAGAUCACAGUGGCACUAAUGGACCCGCAACAAGAACACAACAAAAGGUGAAUUCUUAAAUACUUACAUGUCAAACAAAUCAAGGAAGGGGAUGUUCCCCUCUGGCGUAGCACCAUUUCCAUUCAGCAAAAUAUUCGCUCCUUCAUCGUUUUCCUUCCUUAGUUUGGCUAUCACAUAAGUCCCAGCAGGGGUUCUCCUGAGCAUGGGAGAACCAGGAUCAGAGUACACAUCCUCAGAUGACCUAUCAAAAAGUAUGCGAGGACUCACAUCUUUUGAUCCAGGAGAUAUCACCCAGGUUCUUGUUCGACGCGUCUUGUACCACGACUCGUAGACCAGAGCAAGUGAAUCAUCACACCAUGAAAUCCCUCUGUCAAUAUGAAGAAUCACACAGAUUAGGUAACAUUGUUGGAUCUUCAAAACAAAACAAUAGCUUGCCAUUGACCCUAUAAACAAUACUUGAAUUUAUUUUCCAGCAAGGCGCAGCUUGAUCUACUCCUCAACACUUAAUAAGCUUAUCAUUGCUUUGCCAUAUGCUAUAGAGUUAGAACGAUGCAUCAAAUACAUGGCAGUUAAGUCAUAUAGAUGCAUGCUAAGAAAAUCCUUUAUCCCCACAUUUGCUGGACGAACUCAAAUAUAUUUAUGUUAGGAAAUGAAAUAAGCACCAAGGGAUGGUGAUCAAACAUACAUUAGAUAGUAGCAAUUCAGUUAAGCGGACAUGUCUUACUCCAUCAAUUACAAGUCUUGAUUCAUUUUUAAAUUCCUGUAAUUUGAUGAUAUAUUUUUUAUAUCAGCAAGCAGUUAAACACAAAGUUCAUAACUAAGCGGUUUUGAGACAUCAUUGCAAAUACAGGAAAAAAAAAAGCUCAGCUAUAUUCAUCAAUUUAAUCAAUAUGCAGAAACCUACAAAGAUAAAUAUAAGAAAUGAAACAUGUAUACCUACCCAUAGCGAAGAUCAAGUAUGUGUAAGAUUUUUGGCUGUUCACCUUCUUGUGGUUCUGCAGGCUGUGUAUAAAUUAUAUCACGUGGCGAAACUUCCACUUUCGCAUCGCCUCCAUCUUGUGUCUCUGCCCUAAAAACUUCAGCAGAGUCAGGGAAAUAAAAUUUCAUAGAGAAACAACUUCAUCAAGAAACAAUUAAAAUUUAUCACUGAAGUUAGUGGUUACUUCAAAUCUAUACAUGUCAAUCACAUAAUUACACCUAACAUCUACCAUGUGCUCAUGAUUUCACAGCUUUGCACUCUGACUUCAUAAAAUAAUUAGAAGUCAGACCAUCUAUAGUCCCAUAUAAUUACAGUCAAUUUCAUCUUUUUUCUUUUUUAAAGAAAACAUCAAUUUCAUCUUUACAAAUGCAUAAAUGAGUAAAUGAUAUAGAUAUAUACCAGUAUAUAGUAGAAGGCUUAUCUGCUCUCCAAUUGAUUGACCUCAUCCCUUUUCGCACACUAUUGAAUGCAAUAGGAAUGUCCUCUGCAAGGGGCAAGUCACAGAGUUCUCUAACAAAUUUCCCAUCAGUUGUCCACACAUCCACUUUCUUGGGGAACCUUCCACAUGGUACAAUAAAAGAAUAUGGCCUAUGAAUCGAACUAAUCAAAAGGUACUUCUCAUCAGGGGAAGGAUCCAUAGAUGUGUAAACAGCUGGUGUACCAAUCUCCUUCACUGUACCAUCCAAAGAAGCCAAAACAAGCUGAGAGGUGGCAUAGUAAUCAAAUAAAUCCUCAUCAUACUCAUCCUUCAGCAAAUCCUGGAAUGUUCUAAGUUGAAUGACAUUUUUCUGCUCAUUGGAUUGAAUCUUGGGGCCAGAAGGAACCAAAGGUU